rnacentral:piRNA from 1 species
UCCUCUGUGCCUGAUAAGGUGCCAUAAU